rnacentral:rRNA from 1 species
UGCCAGCAGCCGCGGUAAUACGGAGGGGGUUAGCGUUGUUCGGAAUUACUGGGCGUAAAGCGUAACGUAGGCGGAUUAAUAAGUUAGAGGUGAAAUCCCAGGGCUCAACCCUGGAACUGCCUUUAAAACUGUUAGUCUUGAGAUCGAGAGAGGUGAGUGGAAUUCCAAGUGUAGAGGUGAAAUUCGUAGAUAUUUGGAGGAACACCAGUGGCGAAGGCGGCUCACUGGCUCGAUACUGACGCUGGGGUACCAAAGGGGGGGGAGCAAACAGGGUUAGAAA